GCCACAAGCAGGAUGGCUGGUGCUGAGACGGGCCAGUGGGGACUCUGGUGCCCAUAGGGGCAGCUCCACCUCCUGAAGAUGAAGGGGCCCAGGUGAAACACAGGCCAGGCCCAAUGGCCAGCUCUGGAACAGAGGUCCACUGGGUCGAGCCGGGCCUGGGGAAGGGGCCCCAGCGGCGGCGCUGGGCCUGGGCUGAAAAGGGAAAGGAUGCUGAUGAGAGUGGCACACGCAGCUCAGAAGAGGAGGGACCCUUCCCCACCGCGAGCAGCCCCGAGCUCCUGGAGGACUUCCGCCGGGCCCAGCAGUGCCUGCAGCCACUGACAUGGGGCCCAGACUCACGGCCUGCUGGUUGCCAGGUUCCCGAAUCUGGAGAGUCUGCAGAAGCGGAGUCUGAAGAAGAGGAUGAGGACAGCCCAGAAAGUUCCAACUUGCCUCUCAGCUGGCUCCCCCAGCAGGAUCCUCAACCGGACAUGACCAAAGAGGAUCCAAGUGAGGUUCUGCAAGGCUCUGAGGUCCAGGAAGCUGGAGAGAGCUCCCCAAGGUUGGGAUAUGAGACCUUUCUCAGCUCAGGGGACCAUGGGGGCACCGGCCCCACUGCUCUGGACUGGGGUCAGCCCACAGGCUGCAUGGCUUCUAGCAAACAAGCCAGUGGAGACAAACUUCCAGAACAUUCUGAGGUCAACCCAACUGUUGACUUCCGCUCGCCCAGGUCCUGGAGCAGUGGGACUGUGAGCCUCAACCACCCCAGUGACAACCUGGAUUCUACCUGGGAAGGAGGGACUGAUGUCCCCCAGCCCACUGCCCUGGCAGAAACUUCACCCCAGAGUCCCAGCCACCACCUCCUCAACCCAAACGACAGAACUGAAGGAAGUGUUGCUCUGGCAACGCCCACGGAAUUCCAGGGAUCCUCAGCACCACCCGCCCAGAGCCUCCCAUGUCCUGCAGAUAGAUGGAGGAGAGAAACCAGCAGCCUCUCCUGCCCUCAGCCUGGGGACCAGUCCUGGAAGCAGACACGGAUAUCACCUAAGCCACUCCCUUCCCGAUUCACAGGCUCCAUCAGCCCUCCCAACCCCUCCCCUCGGCCAGCUCGGCAGGACAGACCACCCCCCAGGCCGGGAGCCACUCUGGCUGGCCACUCAUCUUCUGAUCCCCCCAAGUAUGGCCGGGGGCGGCUGAACUACCCGCUCCCUGAUUUCUCCAAGGUGGGACCCCGGGUGAAGUUCCCCAAAGAUGAGAGCUACCGCCCCCCCAAGGCCAGGAGCCACAGCAGGCUGCCCGAGGGCCCUGCCAAGCCACUGAUCUUCAAGUCUCCUGCCGAGAUUGUCCGGGAGGUGCUGCUGAGCAGUGGAGAUGUCUCUCCUGGAAAGAACCCACCUCCUACCCACCCCAUCACCAGGGUGCCCCAAGAAUUUCAGACACCUGAGCAAGCCACCAAGCUUGUCCAUCAGCUCCAGGAGGACUACCACAAGCUCCUCACCAAGUACGCUGAGGCCGAGAACACCAUCGACCAGCUGCGCCUCGGGGCCAAGGUGAACCUGUACUCGGACCCGCCCCGGCCCAGCCACAGCAUCCACGCGGGGACGAUGCCCCAGGGGACCAAGGUCUUGUCCUUCACCAUCCCACAGCCCCACUCUGUGAAGUGGUAUGUGGGCUCCGCCGAGGGCCCGCAGGCCUCUGAGGCUUCAGGGUUGCCAUCAGCUGGAGGAGACCUGAGCCCCUCCUCACCCCCCAGCAUGCCCACCCUAGGGUGGCUUCAGGAGGACGCAGGGGGCAUUGCCCAGGACCAGCCCUCAGCGGAGCGGGCCCAGGAGCUGGCUUCUCAGGCCAGCCGGUUCCUGACCAAGGUGGAGUCCUUUAUAGAGCUGAUACACGCAGGAUGGCUGACACCCCGGGACCAACUCAAGGUCUUCCAGCAGCUAGAGGCUGCCCACGCGGCCCUGGAGGAGGACUACCUGAAGGCCUGCAGGGAGCAGCACCUGUCCCAGCAGCUUGUCGGCUCCCAGGGGACACCCAGGAGAUUUGAUCCUGACAGGGAGCUGGAGGCAGAGAUAUUCCAGCUGGGAAUUCGCCUGGAUGAGCUGAAGGACCUCAUGGACCACAACGAGCAGGAGCCUGGGCAAGUCGGGUCAGACUUGGCUUUGGACAGCUCCCCAGCCACGCCCUCCCCCCACCAGCCAACAGACCCGCCCUCUCCUCUGGAACAAACCCGCACAUCGGCCAUCCAGGCCCUCGGCCCUGAGCCCAACGCCACCAGCAUUGGCCCCCACCUAUUGCACAUGAACUCGGAUCUGAGCGCUCCCAGCAAUGAGGCAGAGGACGGGCCACUGGGCCUCCCGGCCCCGCUCAGGCACAAGGAGCUGCGGGUGGAGCAGGAUUUCCACGGCCUCCUGGAGCGGUACCUCAGUGUGAAGUCCCUUCCAGAAGCCCUGAGGAUGAAGGAGGAGGAGGCGGAGGGCCAGGGCCGCACCCUGGGUUUUGACAGGCCAGCUCCAGCUCCAGGAAAAGCAGUGGCCCCGAGGCUCCCCACCAGGCAGCCCCCGGCGGAGGCUGAGAGAAGUCACGGGGUCCCCCUCAAGGAGACCGUGGAGCAGAUGGCGUCUGUGAAGCCAGCAGAUGUCUGUGCAUCCGUGACCAGAGACGGGCACCUGCAGGGUCUGGGCAGAGCCGAGGAGGCCCCUCCCGGCCCCAGCAGGCCCCCCCAUCCUCAGGGCCCCAAGUCUGCAGCGUCCCACCAGAGCAGCCUGGCCAGCCUCGAGGGAAGUGGCAUCUCCGAGCGCCUUCCACCAAAGUCUCUGCACCAGGCCGGCGGGCCCCCGCUGGAGGAGCCCUGGAUGGCCUCCCCGGAGACAGACAGUGGCUUCGUGGGCUCAGAAACCAGCAGAGUCUCGCCCCUCACUCAGACCCCAGAGCACCGGCUCUCCCAGAUCAGCACCCCAGGGACGUUAGUCCAGUCCUUCACUCUGCCUGUACCCCGAGAUGCAGCCCCCCACCACCAGACCAGGGGUCUUCCCAUCCCCAGAAGAACCUCUGAGCCCAGCAGACCCAGAAGCCGAGCCCAGAGGCCCCCGUCUGGCCAAGACAGUCCUCUCCAGCAGAGGGCACCCAGCUUCUGCCUGGAGCGGGCACUGGCGUCUGAGAUGGAGGUCCCUGGCUCAGAGUUUAAGGGGCGGAAGCGGAUUCCUGAACCGAUCCUCCCUAGCGCGACAAUCAGCCCACCUCCCACCCCUGCCCCUGUGGCUGCCACUCCACCCCGUGAACCCGCAGAGAUCACCUCCACCUUCUUCCUCACCAGGACGGGGCGCGACCAGGCCAUCCGGGACCUGCAGGAUGAGGUCUCCCGGCUCCGUCUGAGGCUGGAGGACAGCCUCCACCAGCACCCCCAGGGCCGCCCCACGCGCUCAGCGUCCGGCUGCGCCCGCCCCACCCGGGCCCGGAAGCGGUCAGGAGAUUCCUCAGCCGCUUGGAGCUCCCAUUACGGCAGCAAAUCCACGGAGAGGUCGUCUGGUGAGCCCGGGGGUGCAGAGCAAGCUGUUCCCACGGGAAGGCGGCGAGCCAGGUCCUCCUCGGUGCCUCGGGAGGAGCCUCGACUGUCCCUGAGUUCCGAAUCUGAGCCAGCCUCCCCCAGGUUGUUUUCUGAGAGGGGAAGGACCACCGAGAACAGUCCGCAGGCCGCUCGGGAUGGAGCAAAAGGAGUGAGCAGCACCGGACGGCCUGACAGGGUCACCUUCCGAGGCCAAUACACAGGCCAGGAGUACUAUGUUCUGUCCCCCAAGACUGUACCAAGAAGCAGUGUCCCGGUCUCCUGUCCCCACUGCCGACCCCCUAGGACAGAGGAUCCAGGUGAUGCUGUCAGCAGGGACCCAGUGGGACCGUCUCGUAGUGAGACCUUGCGAUGUCCCCUGUGUAGUCAAGUUGGGUCCCUCUCUGAGGGGGAUGGCCCAGACUCAGCCACCUCUGCGCCAGAAAAGGCCACCACCAGGAGAAAUUCACCUUCAACAUCCAGCCCCAAGCAGAGGAGCAAGCGAGCAGGGUCGCCGCCCCGGCCGCCUCCUGGACUGUGGUAUCUGGCUGCCGCGCCCUCGGCACCAGCCCCUCCUGCCUUUGCCUACAUCUCCUCGGUUCCCGUCCUGCCUUAUCCAUCAGCCACUGUGUACUACGCUCCGCCAGCACCUACCUCAGCACCCCCAGUCCGAGCAGCCGCCGAGUGGCCCCCGCAGCCUGCUCCCGGCCGGCCCGGGGACCCCGGCACUCCGUCCAGCUGGACCUGAAGGACCUGGAGGAGCUCAACAAGGCCCUGAGCCGGGCGGUCGAGGCUGCCGAGAGCGUCCGCUCCACCACCCAGCACAUGAGCCGCUCGCUGUCGGCCGAGCUGCGCCAGGCCCGCGGCCUGCGGGGCUCCUGCCUCUUCUGAUGCUUGAGGCUCAGGGACACGCGGCGGGCGGGGCUGGCGGGCGCCCCCGCCCCAGGCCAGAGGGCGCCGAGCCACUCCCAGAGGCCCCGCAGACCCUC
rnacentral:lncRNA from 1 species